rnacentral:rRNA from 1 species
GUAAUCCUACGGGACGCAGCAGUGAGGAAUAUUGGUCAAUGGGCGCGAGCCUGAACCAGCCAAGUCGCGUGAGGGAAGACGGUCCUAUGGAUUGUAAACCUCUUUUGUCGGGGAGCAAAAGACGCCACGCGUGGCGUUCCGAGAGUACCCGAAGAAAAAGCAUCGGCUAACUCCGUGCCAGCAGGCGAGGUAAUACGGAGGAUGCGAGCGUUAUCCGGAUUGAUUGGGUUUAAAGGGUGCGCAGGCGGAAGAUCAAGUCAGCGGUAAAAUUGAGAGGCUCAAACUCUUCGAGCCGUUGAAACUGG